rnacentral:tRNA from 1 species
GCAUUGGUGGUUCAGUGGUAGAAUCCUCGCCUUCCAUGCAGGAGACCCGAGUUGAACUCCUGGCCAAUGUA